AUUGAACGCUGGCGGAAUGCUUUACACAUGCAAGUCGAACGGUAGAGGGGGCAACCCCUCGAGAGUGGCGAACGGGUGAGUAAUAUAUCGGAACGUGCCCAGUCGUGGGGGAUAACGUAGCGAAAGUUACGCUAAUACCGCAUACGAUCUAAGGAUGAAGGCGGGGGAUCGCAAGACCUCGCGCAAUUGGAGCGGCCGAUAUCAGACUAGGUAGUUGGUAGGGUAAAGGCCUACCAAGCCGACGAUCUGUAGCUGGUCUGAGAGGAUGAUCAGACACACUGGGACUGGGACACGGCCCAGACGCCUACGGGAGGCAGCAGUGGGGAAUUUUGGACAAUGGACGCAAGUCUGAUCUAGCCAUUCCGCGUGCAGGAUGAAGGCCCUCGGGUUGUAAACUGCUUUUGUACAGAACGAGAAGGCUCUGGUUAAUACCUGGGGCUCAUGACGGUACUGUAAGAAUAAGCACCGGCUAACUACGUGCCAGCAGCCGCCGCCG
rnacentral:rRNA from 1 species